AAAAAUCCUACAACAAUAAAAUUUAAACAGUACAAGAAUAAUGUCAUAAUAUUUUCACAAUAAAGUUGUAAUACAAGAAUAGUCCAAAAACACCAGAAUAGAAUCAUAAUACUACAAGAAAAAUUUCGCAAUAUCGCAAAAAUAAAUUCUUAAUAAUAUAAGAAUAAACUCAUAUUAGCAGAAAAAAGUUGUAUAAACGACUAAUACCAGAAAAAAUUUUAAUAAUAUGAAAAUAGUCAUAUUACAAGAAAAAGGUCAAACAACCGUAAAGUCGUAAUAACACCAGAAAGAAGUCAGAAUAUUAUCAGAAUAAAGUAAUAAUUUUAUGAGAACUGACAUGUAAAAUCAGUCUUGGCGCUGCGUUAACAUGAGGAAUGUUCAGUAUGUUGCGAAGUUCUGCUUUGGUAUCCAUUUGACAAAUAAGGAAAUAAUAUUUUAACAUUUAUUAUCAGGACUUUGAAACGACUGAAUCUAUUCAGGAAGAAGAACCACAGACUGGCUGAGAGGGCCACAUCAAAUCUUCACUACUCUGGCCAGACUUUGCUCCAAUUUAAACAUUUUCUCACAAUCUUACGACUUUCUUCUGGUAAUAUUAUGAGUUAUCUUUGUAAGUUAAAAAAAAAAUUCUAACACUCCGGCGGACUGAGCUGACUUGUCUCACAUUUUGUCAGGUGGAUUUUGGUGACACCUGUGGCCGCUGAAGGUACUGCUACUGGGUUUUAGAAUAAUCUGUUCGCACAGCCUAAAAAAACACGGAUCAGAAAUCAUUCUGCCUUUGUUUUGCUCCAUAAAUAAUACAAAUUUAAAUUAUAGAUCUGACUUUAGUUACUUUUUUUUUUUUUGGUUUGGUACAGCUGCAGUUUCUUCAGCGGCCAGUAGAGGCUGCUACAAACAGGUUCAUGAGUAUAAAUCCGUAAAUAAAAAGCAUUUUACCCCAAUAAUUAGCAAAAACUUUGUUAAUUGUAACAGCUUUCAUGAUUUCUGUGAGAACGUUAAACCAAAUUACAGAGUCAGAUCAGAAAACACAAACCAGUUGUUACAAACAUACAAGGAUUAAAGUCAAAAUAACUUUCAAACAUUGUUUAAAACUGUUGUGAUGCCGAAUUACAUCCCAGGCUACUCAGCCAACGCAGCGGCAGUUUAGCAAACGUAGCAUUUAAUAUUUAAUAUUCGCCUCUAUGCAGAUGAUUCUGUCCUGUUGGCCGAUGUUCUUUCUGGUUGACAGCAGAGGUCUGGAUAUUAACAGAAACCUGCUGAGACUGGUGCUGACUGACUAAAGGAAACAGCAGAGAUGGAGGUUAAAGAUAGAUCUAACUGCAGUUCUUCUACUGGCCACAAGGAGACGCUAAAACAGUAUUUAUAGUUAGCAGCUUUGUUUCUCUGGUCCAAAAAAAACUCAGUUCCAACCCAGAUUCUUCUGGAUCAGAAUCUGACAGUGGAGAGCUGAUUGUCUCUACUCUCAUUCCUGUCUGGAUUAUUUCUGUGUUUAUGUGUAAUUUACCUGAAGCUGCAGCAGCCUCUUGUAAUCCAGAGGAAGUGGUUCUGAAGUUCUGCAGUGUGAACAGACCCGUUACACCUGAGCGUCUGAUCUGCAGCAGCUCAGACACGUUUACAGUUCAGAUAGAAAAAAAUCUAAAAAAACACUUCAAAAUACACUCAGCGAUCAUAAACAGAAAAGGUUUCAGCUGAAGACGGAGGAGGAUCGGCUCCAUCAGCUCAGCCUGCAGCAGCGCCCCCUGCAGGUCCUCACAGGAAACGGCUCGUUAUCAUUUCCUGGGUGUUUGUCCUGUUGGGUCUGAGAUGAAGCUGCUGCAGACAGAAAAGCUUCACCAGCAGAGAGUUCCUGGAUCUGAUGCUGUUGAGUUCAG